AUACGUAGGAUCCAAGCGUUGUCCGGAAUUACUGGGUGUAAAGGGUGCGUAGGCGGGCUUGUGCGUCAGGGGUUAAAUCCCACGGCUUAACCGUGGAGCUGCCCUUGAUACGGCAAGUCUUGAGUAUGAGAGAGGAUGAUAGAAUUCCUGGUGUAGCGGUGAAAUGCGUAGAUAUCAGGAAGAAUACCAGUGGCGAAGGCGGUCAUCUGGCUCAUUACUGACGCUCAGGCACGAAAGCGUGGGGAGCGAACAGGAUUAGAAACCCCAGUAGUCC
rnacentral:rRNA from 1 species